UGAAAAUGACCCGUUAUUUUUUUUCACUGCUGUGCGCAUCGGACUUUUGCUGAUUUUCGUUCAUCAAACGUCUCCAAAUCACACCAAAAUGUCUUCCACCAAUUAUUCUAGCGAUGAAAUUUCAUCAAGAGAUAGUGACUCCUCAUACUCCGAUGCCUCAUUAUCCCAUUUUAGUGAUUCUCCCCAAGAAAAUGAGCCCGACAAAUUUUCAAAAUAUUACUAGUCCCACUCGUAGAUAAACGAGUUUGUUGUCGAAUGACGGACCAUCGACGAGCGGAACUGGCCCCAGAAAACAGCUGAAAAGGAAUCAGAAAACACAACCUGCUAAAGCACCACGCAAGAAGAAGAGCAAGUCUUCCAAGUCCGAGAGUGUGUCUGCGAGGUAUGUCCUUACUAAGUAGAAAUCUAAAUCUAUUGUUGAUAAUUUUUUUGGGUUUAUUUAUUUCAUGUUUGUUAGUUAAGAUCUGACAUCAAAAUAUUAGAGUAGUUUACCUCAUCAUUAUGCUAGAACAAUAAUUUGCAGGUGGCACAAGUCCUACCUAGUCCUAGAUCUACAUUAUUUUUCUCAUUCCUUUUUAUUUUUUUCUUCAAAAAAUUGUUCCUUUACUAUUUUCUUUUCUGUGUUUUAUGUUUUAUUUUAUGUAUGUUCACCCAAUAUAUCUAAGAAUAAAAUAACUCUAAUUAAUUGCCUACCUGAGUGGUUUACAUUUCAUGCACCUUGACAGCUCUUUGAUGACUCCGUUGUUUCACCAUCCGUUCGUCAUCAGCCUGGCAUCUUUUUUGCUAUCAUACUUUUGUACACACAUGUUCUGUGCCUUUGAAUUUUUCAUUAUGAAAUACAUAAAUACUUGUACUAAGUAUUAAUUGCAUGUUCAUAAAUGUACCAAUGCAUGAUUAUUCUAACCCCUAACUCACAUUUCAUUUAUAUCUUUACAGAUCCAUUGAAACUAAUCAAGCUACAAUGUACAUGUAACGUACAACCACCAUUCGAUGCCUGUGAACAGCAUGACCAACAUCUGUAUCCUUUACAUUAGUAUUUGUUUCCAUUUUAUUAUGUAAUUCUUAUGUCUAAUCAUUGAGAUUCAUAGGCAAGUACAACAUGUACGUGUACACAAUGAGAGCCUGCAUAUUGUGAAGAUAAAGGACCAUAAGACCAUUACUUAUGAUACAUGGUAAUGAUGGUAUACUUUGUAAAACUAUUUGAAAAUAGUAGCAUGUAAGUCUGUCAUUUUCUUGUUUUUAUAUAUAUCUCAAUGACAUGACAUGUCAUUGAUUUUGUAGUAAGUGUUUCUAGAUUAUGAUGAUUGUAUUAAGAUUUUGACAGUUCAAUUGAGAUUGAGAAAAUUAUGUAACAUGUCAACUGUACUAUAGAGCAUGCAUGCAUUGUUGAAAAAUCUGUUUUAUGAUUUAUUUUAUUUUGUUAUCUUUGUAAAUAACGAGAAAA